CAGCAGCCGCGGGAAUACGGAGGGUGCAAGCGUUACUCGGAAUUACUGGGCGUAAAGCGUGCGUAGGCGGUGGUUUAAGUCCGUUGUGAAAGCCCUGGGCUCAACCUGGGAAUUGCAGUGGAUACUGAAUCACUAGAGUGUGGUAGAGGAUAGUGGAAUUUCCGGUGUAGCAGUGAAAUGCGUAGAGAUCGGAAGGAACAUCUGUGGCGAAGGCGACUAUCUGGGCCAACACUGACACUGAGGCACGAAAGUGUGGGGAGCAAACAGGAUUAGAUACCCGCGUAGUCCCUGUCUCUUAUAC
rnacentral:rRNA from 1 species